rnacentral:rRNA from 1 species
UACGUAGGGUGCGAGCGUUAAUCGGAAUUACUGGGCGUAAAGCGCACGUAGGCGGCCUAGCAAGUAGGGAGUGAAAGCCCUCGGCUUAACCGAGGAAGUGCUUUCUAAACUACUAGGCUUGAAUACUGUAGAGGGAGGUGGAAUUUCCGGUGUAGCAGUGAAAUGCGUAGAUAUCGGAAGGAACAUCAGUGGCGAGGGCGACUUCCUGGACAGAUACUGACACUGAGGCACGAAAGCGUGGGGAGCAAACAGG